rnacentral:rRNA from 1 species
AUUGAACGCUGGCGGCAGGCCUAACACAUGCAAGUCGAGCGGGGUUUUCGGACCUAGCGGCGGACGGGUGAGUAAUGCGUAGGAAGCUACCCGAUAGAGGGGGAUACCAGUUGGAAACGACUGUUAAUACCGCAUAAUGUCUACGGACCAAAGUGUGGGACCUUCGGGCCACAUGCUAUCGGAUGCGCCUACGUGGGAUUAGCUAGUUGGUGAGGUAAUGGCUCACCACGGCGACGAUCCCUAGCUGGUUUGAGAGGAUGAUCAGCCACACUGGAACUGAGACACGGUCCAGACCCCUACGGGAGGCAGCAGUGGGGAAUAUUGGACAAUGGGCGCAAGCCUGAUCCAGCCAUGCCGCGUGUGUGAAGAAGGCCUUCGGGUUGUAAAGCACUUUCAGUAGGGAGGAAGCGUUGUGUGUUAAUAGUACACAGCGUUGACGUUACCUACAGAAGAAGCACCGGCUAACUCUGUGCCAGCCGCCGCGGUAACAC